CCAUAUUUUUUUCCAGGAUAUUUUUGGAAAUGCAUUCAUCCAGACGGAGCUUAUUCAAGUAUAUCCUGCUUGCGUUUGCUUUUUACGAAGCACUGGCAAACGAAAAGUCAAAGAAUACGAGCAAUGACAAGUUGAUUACGAGAAGUGCCUUAGAAAACAUUGAUGGUAUGGGAAUUCGGGCUUCCAAUUUUCAUGAAUUGUACGAGUCUUUCGUGUAUGACGAUUUUUUUUCAAAUCGUAUCAAAUUCAGGAUGAUGCGAUAUCUUAUUUCUGAGCGACUUAAGAGUUGGAAAGUAGUUGGAAGUUCAAAAAACAAAUUUUCAAAAAGCAAAGAGAUGAAAACAAGAAUGUCUGAUGAAAACGGCAACAAGCCCAACUCACCGAAUUUGACAUCUACAGAAAGAAUAGACUCUGGAAAGAAUACACAUAAAAAUGUUUCUGAUGUCACGGUUACGGUAACCAUGGUAACUGCUGCAACUCGAUCGGCAGAUAUUUCUCAUUUACAGUCAAACAACAAACUUCCUCCUUCGUCUAAGCAUGGUAAACACAAGCGGUCUUUAAGGAAUAUGUUUUCGUUCAGGAGCAGAUUGUUUGGCACAGGAAGAGAGGUUUACUUCAGAAAAGAUCUUUUCGGAGUUUCAUGGCCUGUGGUGUAUAAGAUGUCUCCCCGCCGUCGUACAUAUGUGCCAUCAGUUUCCGCUUUAACGCCAUAUCGAGGCUCGUAUGGUAUUCUGGAUCCACUCGCAAGCAAUUUGAUUGGUUAAAAAGAUUUUACAAACAUCGAAACUUGAAUUUUAACUUGUUUGUGACUUAAUAAAUAGGACAAAGAUCAUUAA